rnacentral:rRNA from 1 species
UAGGGAAUAUUGCACAAUGGAGGAAACUCUGAUGCAGCAAUGCCGCGUGAGUGAUGAAGGCCUUAGGGUUGUAAAGCUCUUUCAGUUGUGAAGAUAAUGACGGUAACAACAGAAGAAGCCCCGGCUAAUUUCGUGCCAGCAGCCGCGGUAAUACGAAAGGGGCUAGCGUUGUUCGGAAUCACUGGGCGUAAAGCGUACGUAGGCGGAUUGAAAAGUUAGAUGUGAAAGCCCAGGGCUCAACCUUGGAACUGCAUUUAAAACUCUCAAUCUUGAGUCCGGUAGGGGAGCAUGGAAUUCCCAGUGUAGAGGUGAAAUUCGUAGAUAUUAGGAGGAACACCAGUGGCGAAGGC